CCUCAAUUCGCGAAAAUUCGACAGUUGUCCGGAUCUGUGAAUUUCCGGCCAGACAAACCAACUACCGGAAAAGUCUCCGAAUUGGAUCGAGGUUUUGGCUACCCCACCAUUGUCAGGCAUCCCGAGCGCGUUCCCGAAGUCAGAAUCGGCAAAGGUGAGCCGGGACAGCCUUCUUCCUCCGCCCAGCCGCCACAGUGAUUGCCGUCAAGUCUGCCACAGGAGGAUAUUUUUUUGAGGUUAACCUGCUUUCUCCCUCGCAGGUUAAUUAUUACUGUUUGUAUAAACUUGUUAAAUCUUAGAAUUUCCGCAUGUGUUAGAAAUGUUUAUUUGAUUUGGGUCUGUAAACUAAAUUAUUAUUUUGGGACC